CUUUGAUAAAAUAUUUAGGAGGAAUGGACAAUGCCUUCAGUACCAGCUGGGUGGAAUGGACAAUGCCAAUCAGGAGAAGCAUUUAAUGCAUCAUCUUGCAACAGUUUUUAUAAUAGUAACACCUUAUUUAGUAAGAUCAUUUGAUGGAAAUUUAUUGACAGAGGGAUCCUCACUUUUUUUUUUUUUUAAAUUACGAUAUAGGAAAGUGAUUGGAGCCAGAUAUUAUUUGAGUGGCUAUGAAGCUGAAGAAGAUCCGAUAACGUCUGUGUCAUUCAAAUCCCCUAGGGACAGUUCUGGUCAUGGCAGCCACACAGCCUCAACAGCUGCAGGCCGGUAUAUGACAAAAUGAAUUAUAAGGGCUUGGCAGCUGGAGGUUCUAGAGGAAGUGCUCCAAUGGCAAGGAUUGCAGUGUACAAGACUUGUUGGGACUCAGGGAGAUUAUUUUAAUGAUGCCAUCUCCUUGGGGUCAUUGCAUGCUGCUAGCCAUGGGGUAGUGGUAGUUGCUUCUGUUGGAAAUGAAGGAAAUCAAGGUUCAGCAACAAACCUUGCUCCAUGGAUGAUCACUGUUGCUGCUAGUUGAACAGAUAGGGAUUUUAUAUCUGAUAUCGUAUUAGGAGAUGUGCUAAUUUCACAGCAAUGCUAUUUCCUGGUUAAUGUCUGUAGAUUUAUACAUUAUUCUCAGGCUCUUAAAACACCUCUUGGUCAUUGAAUAGGGUGAAGUUUGAGUCUGUUUGAAAUGAAUGCCUCCACAAGCAUCAUCUCUGCUUCAGAAUCCUAUGCAGGAUACUUCACUCCCUACCAAUCCAGGUGAAGCAGAAGGUACCUGACAAUAAGUAUGGUCUUAGAUAUUAAUGCAUAAAUGAAAAAUCUCAAGUUAUGUUUUCUUGUUUA